GCCUGGGUGGCGAAAUUGGUAUACGCAGGGGACUUAAAAUCCCCAGGGAUAACAUCCCGUGCGGGUUCGACUCCCGCCCCAGGCACCA
rnacentral:tRNA from 1 species